rnacentral:rRNA from 1 species
GACGAACGCUGGCGGCGUGCUUAACACAUGCAAGUCGAACGGUAAGGCCCUUCGGGGUACACGAGUGGCGAACGGGUGAGUAACACGUGGGUGAUCUGCCCUGCACUUCGGGAUAAGCCUGGGAAACUGGGUCUAAUACCGGAUAGGACUCCGGACUGCAUGGUCUGGGGUGGAAAGCCUUUGCGGUGUGGGAUGGGCCCGCGGCCUAUCAGCUUGUUGGUGGGGUGAUGGCCUACCAAGGCGACGACGGGUAGCCGGCCUGAGAGGGUGACCGGCCACACUGGGACUGAGAUACGGCCCAGACUCCCACGGGAGGCAGCAGUGGGGAAUAUUGCACAAUGGGCGCAAGCCUGAUGCAGCGACGCCGCGUGAGGGAUGACGGCCUUCGGGUUGUAAACCUCUUUCAGCAUCGACGAAGCGAAAGUGACGGUAGGUGCAGAAGAAGGACCGGCCAACUACGUGCCAGCAGCCGCAGUAA